rnacentral:sRNA from 1 species
UUUCAGGGCGCCAAACAAUUGACUCCAGACGAUAUUAGCCGUGUCUUUAACCUAUAUGACAGGGACGGCAACAAGAGCAUUGAGGACGAAGAGUUACACGGCUUCCUCAAGGAUCUGAUGGAGCUGGUCCAGGAGGACUACGACGCCGACGACAUUGAAGAGUUCAAGGACAUCCUCCUCCGGGAAUGUGACCUCAACCAUGACGGCCGCAUCGACAAGGACGAACUCUCCAUGGUCCUCAUCUCCUUCGCCAAAGCCUCACAGGGACCAGGAGACGAGCCCGACGUUCCCGAAGACGCCUCCGAAGGCCAAGGGACUUCUGCGGCCUCUAAAGAAUAAAGCAUUUCAUCUCGCGAACAAAAAAACAACAUCUUUUUAUCAAUCAUGUCAAAAUAUUUUUGCUUGUAUUUUAAUUUUUUUUAUUUUUUGGUCAAACCCCCACAUUUUUGUCCUAAGUCUAUCACGUAUGAAUUGUUAUGGUGUCCGAUAUAUGCCUUCUAGAAUAAGACUAAACGUUGUAUUGACCGAAGGCAUACUAGACUAGAUCUAAAGCUGUGAUGGUAAAUCUUUAUUUCUGCCUGGCAUAACCUGUGAUGUUUUAAACCAUGUUCACAUCAUAAUAGCUUACUUUUGUAGAUGCUGGUCAUAAAAGAUGCUGAGAGAUAAAUAUAUUUUUUUUUACAUUUAAUAACUCUAAAAAUUAUUGAUAAUUUUUUUUUAUUUCAUAGCAAACAUUGUCAAGUUACAUAAUUCAUUCGUAACUAAUUUAGUUGUAAAUUUCAUUGUUAUCUCCCGUAAAUUUUUUAUAUUGUUUUGGUCUGAACUUUCAACAGCUGUCAAGAAAAGAUAAUCCUUUUUUUUUGGCUUCGCUAAUUAUUAUUGUCGUUUAUCUCUCUUAUUGUGAACUAGGUCACAUUAUCUUGCUUUUAAACUGACGUAAAUACUUUUUAAUGUUCAAUGUUCAUGGUUGCGAGUGUAGAUUGAUAUCAUUUUAUAUUGUGAUUAUCUACUUCUUAGAACAUAGAAAGUGUAAGAAACAAUAACAUAAAUUAGAUUUUUAAAUUACUUAAGAGUGAGUUGUAGACACGAUCUGAUAUAUCCAUGGCUGAGAGAGAGAGAGAGAGAGAGAGAGAGAGAAAGAGAGAGAGGAACAUCUUAAUUAUUAUUAUAU